UGAAUACGAGACGCUAAGGCGUUGAAGUAGUGUAUGUCAUACUUCCAAGAAAAGCUUGCACUGUCAUAGAUAAAAAACGCCUGUACCAUAACCGACACAGGUGGGUAGGUAGAGUAUACUAAGGGGCGCGAGAUAACUCUCUCUAAGGAACUCGGCAAAAUAACUCCGUAACCUCGGGAGAAGGAGUGCCUUAUUUAUAAGGCUGCAAUAACAAGAUCCAAGCAACUGUUUAUCAAAAACACAGGUCUCCGCUAAGUCGUAAGACGAUGUAAGGGGGCUGACGCCUGCCCAGUGCCAGAAGGUUAAAGAAGUUGGUUAGCAAUAGCGAAGCUGAUAACUGAAGCCCUGGUGAACGGCGGCCGUAACAAUCACGGUCCUAAGGUAGCGAAAUUCCUUGUCGGGUAAGUUCCGACCCGCACGAAAGGCGUAAUGAUUUGGAUACUGUCUCGGAGAGGGGCUCGGUGAAAUAGACUUGUCUGUGAAGAUGCGGACUACCUGCACCAGGACAGAAAGACCCUAUGAAGCUUUACUGUAACUUGAAAUUGAAAUUGGACUUUAUUCGCGCAGUAUAGGUGGGAGGCGUUGAUUGUAAUCUUGCGGGAUUAUUGGAGCCAUCAGUGAGAUACCACCCUUGUAAUGUUAGAUUUCUAACUUUGAAUCAUUAUCUGGUCAAAGAACAGUUUCAGGCGGGCAGUUUGACUGGGGCGGUCGCCUCCUAAACGGUAACGGAGGCGUACAAAGGUUUCCUCUGAACGGUUAGAAAUCGUAUCUAGAGUGUAAAGGCAUAAGGAAGCUUGACUGUGAGACCUACAAGUCGAGCAGGGACGAAAGUCGGUCCUAGUGAUCUGACGGUACUGAGUGGAAAGGCCGUCACUCAACGGAUAAAAGUUACUCUAAGGAUAACAGGCUGAUCUCCCCCAAGAGUUCACAUCGACGGGGAGGUUUGGCACCUCGAUGUCGGCUCAUCGCAUCCUGGGGCGGUAGUACGUCCCAAGGGUUGGGCUGUUCGCCCAUGAAAGCGGUACGCGAGCUGGGUUCAGAACGUCGUGAGACAGUUCGGUCCAUAUCCGGUGUAGGCGUAGAAUAUUGAGAGGAGCCUUCUUUAGUACGAGAGGACCGAGAGGGACAUACCUCUGGUGUACCAGUUAUCGUGCCAACGGUAAACGCUGGGUAGCUAUGUAUGGAGUGGAUAACCGCUGAAAGCAUCUAAGUGGGAAGCCCACCUCAAGAUAAGUAUUCUCAUC
rnacentral:rRNA from 1 species